rnacentral:snRNA from 1 species
GGAGCUUUCCCCGGGCGUCG